rnacentral:rRNA from 1 species
CGCGUAGGCGGCUGUUCAAGUCAGUAGUGGAAGUCCAGCUUUUAAGGUUGGAAGUGCUAUUGAAACUGAGCAGCUUGAGUGCAGGAGAGGUUAUCGGAAUUCCCGGUGUAGCGGUGAAAUGCGUAGAGAUCGGGAGGAACACCAGUGGCGAAGGCGGGUAACUGGACUGCAACUGACGCUGAGGCGCGAAAGUGUGGGGAGCAAACA